rnacentral:lncRNA from 1 species
AGAGCAGAAAAAAGGACAGAAUAGCAUUGUUUGAUUUGAGUAAUUAGGGGCGGAAGUAGUGGGAGUCAACUAUGAGAGAGAGUGUGUUUGUAUGAAUCACGAGAUGCCUGCUUUCUUCCUUAUUAUCUGAGACACCCUUCUUCACCCCUUUUGCAUUAAAAAGAUCGUAAUAACAACAACAAGGUCUCAGGUAACAUUCAAUGACAAAAAACUAAAGUUUGUUCCAGUGUUACCUAGAGAGACGAAGAACAACCAAAUAAAAUAAAUGAAUCAAUCAACUCAUGUCUGAUAGUCAAACCGGAGAGGGUCCCGAUCUUUGCUGUCCAGUCUUGUCUGACGGUCAAGCUUUGACUUCUUCAUUAAAAUCCAACGGUGGGAGUGGACCCUCACCAUGUUUUUAUUAUGGUCGAUGAUGGCUGAUUGAUGAUGAUGCCUUUGCCCAUUUUAAGAUAUUACCUCUCCACUCUCUUCUGUUUUGCUUUGUCGUUUCACAUGCACAAACUACAAUUUGCAAUUGUUCACCACCCCUUUUCAUAUUGCAUUUCUGCAAUUAUGAGUCGGCAAUAUUAUAAGCCCAUAUCUUCAACUAACACAUAAACAAAAUAUCUUUUCUAAAUUAUUUUCAUUACCUUCCAUAACUGACAUAUCUUCUGAUUGUUGGAGGGGUCUCACCACCUCUACCUUGACUGCAGUUCAUCAUAAUGUCCUUUUGAGUAUUAUUCUGGGGUUGGACUUGGACUACCAAAUUUCUAUGGCAAUUAUGACUUCACCAACUUCACCUCUCCUUCGUUUAUUUUGCAAAUCUAUUUUCUUCAACCAUCAUAAAGUGCAUGCAACUCCUACCACCAAUAUGAUGAGCUCCAAACUACCAAAAAUGAUCGUCCGCAUGAGUACAAAUUUUAACUCCAUCUCUUGAUUGGAU